UGAGGAUGAGUGGGAAAUUUU
rnacentral:siRNA from 1 species